GCUUGGGUGGCUCAGUCGGUUGAGCGUCUGACUCUCACUCAGGUCAUGAUCUCACCAGUUUGUGGGUUCGAGCCCCACCUCAGGCU